rnacentral:rRNA from 1 species
AUUGAACGCUGGCGGCAUGCCUUACACAUGCAAGUCGAACGGCAGCGCGGACUUCGGUCUGGCGGCGAGUGGCGAACGGGUGAGUAAUACAUCGGAACGUACCCUGUUGUGGGGGAUAACUAGUCGAAAGAUUAGCUAAUACCGCAUACGACCUGAGGGUGAAAGUGGGGGACCGGAAACGGCCUCAUGCAGCAGGAGCGGCCGAUGUCUGAUUAGCUAGUUGGUGGGGUAAAGGCCCACCAAGGCGACGAUCAAUAGCUGGUCUGAGAGGACGAUCAGCCACACUGGGACUGAGACACGGCCCAGACUCCUACGGGAGGCAGCAGUGGGGAAUUUUGGACAAUGGGGGCAACCCUGAUCCAGCAAUGCCGCGUGUGUGAAGAAGGCCUUCGGGUUGUAAAGCACUUUUGUCCGGAAAGAAAUCGCGCUGGUUAAUACCUGGCGUGGAUGACGGUACCGGAAGAAUAAGCACCGGCUAACUACGUG